CACGUAGGGUGCGAGCGUUGUCCGGAAUUAUUGGGCGUAAAGAGCUCGUAGGCGGUGUGUCGCGUCGGCCGUGAAAACCUGCAGCUUAACUGUGGGCGUGCGGUCGAUACGGGCAUCACUGGAGUUCGGCAGGGGAGACUGGAAUUCCUGGUGUAGCGGUGAAAUGCGCAGAUAUCAGGAGGAACACCGGUGGCGAAGGCGGCUCUCUGGACCGAUACUGACGCUGAGGCGCGAAAGCGUGGGGAGCAAACAGG
rnacentral:rRNA from 1 species